GACGAACCGUGCAAACGUUAUUCGGAAUCACUGGGCAUAAAGGGCGCGUAGGCGGCUCCAAAAGUCAGGGGUGAAAUCCGGCAGCUUAACUGUCGCAGUGCCUUUGAUACUGUGGAGCGUAGAGGGAGGUAGGGGUCUGGUGGAACUUCCGGUGGAGCGGUGAAAUGCGUUGAUAUCGGAAGGAACGCCGGUGGCGAAAGCGAACGGACUGGAUCUCUUCUGACGCUGAGGCGCGAAAGCCAGGGGAGCAAACGGGG
rnacentral:rRNA from 1 species